rnacentral:ncRNA from 2 species
GGGAACCUGCGUGGCGAUUUGUUCACCGGAUUGCGGGCCACGUAAAAUAAUUCUGCUAAAGAGGUCAGGGAAUGAAGGCG